rnacentral:rRNA from 1 species
GAUGAACGCUAGCGGCAGGCUUAAUACAUGCAAGUCGAGGGGCAGCACGAAUAGCAAUAUUUGGUGGCGACCGGCAAACGGGUGCGGAACACGUACGCAACCUUCCUUUAAGUGGAGAAUAGCCCGGGGAAACCCGGAUUAAUACUCCGUAACAUUAUAAAGUGGCAUCACUUAGUAAUUAUAGAUUUAUCGCUUAAAGAUGGGCGUGCGCCUGAUUAGGUAGUUGGCGGAGUAAUAGCCCACCAAGCCUGCGAUCAGUAACUGGUGUGAGAGCACGACCAGUCACACGGGCACUGAGACACGGGCCCGACUCCUACGGGAGGCAGCAGUAAGGAAUAUUGGUCAAUGGACGCAAGUCUGAACCAGCCAUGCCGCGUGGAGGAUGAA